rnacentral:sRNA from 1 species
UGACGUGUUUAAAACAAAAUCAGCGUGUUGUGUAUCCUCUAUACCCUCUUAGU